rnacentral:rRNA from 1 species
GUAGGUGGCAAGCGUUGUCCGGAAUUAUUGGGCGUAAAGCGCGCGCAGGCGGUUCUUUAAGUCUGAUGUGAAAGCCCACGGCUCAACCGUGGAGGGUCAUUGGACACUGGAGAACUUGAGUACAGAAGAGGAAAGCGGAAUUCCACGUGUAGCGGUGAAAUGCGUAGAGAUGUGGAGGAACACCAGUGGCGAAGGCGGCUUUCUGGUCUGUAACUGACGCUGAGGCGCGAAAGCGUGGGGAGCAAACAGGAUUAGAUACCCUGGUAGUCCACGCCGUAAACGAUGAGUGCUAAGUGUUAGGGGGUUUCCGCCCCCCUUAGUGCUGCAGCUAACGCAUUAAGCACUCCGCCUGGGAGUACGGCCGCAAGGCUG